CGCCAGUGCCGCCACACCGCGUCGCACUAUCCCGCGCCCUCGCCGCCCCUCCCUACUCCCUUCAUCCAUCAGUCAGUCACUCGACGGCACGCACGAGGGACGGUCGCUCGAUUUCUCUCGUCGCUCAACAUUCACGCGGACAACUGGGUCAAAGGUUUCGUGCUAACGUCGAAUCCUUAUACGUCCUGUGUUGUGACCAAAUACAGUGCAAGUGAAUUAGAAAUAUAGUUUGUGAUAUAAUUAAUUACACCAGCGGUUCUUUUGAAGUGUACGGGAUGCGUGCGUGAGCGCAGCGCAUGACGUGCUACGAAACGUUGAGAGCUCCGGCACCCGCCGCGGACGCCCCCAUGGCGCACCACUUCGUUAAGUGGUGGCGCAACAAGUUUAGAAAUGGAUACAAGAAGUUUAGCAUUGGUACAGAGAGCGAGAGGACGGACACCGAAGAGCUGGUGGGACGAGCAGCUUCACAAUGUUCAGCACCACCUGACCUGCUGCCAAGCGAGGCCCGCGCCUUGCUGCAGCCGAACACGCCACCAGCGCCGCCCCCCCGCUCCCAUGAACCGUCCUACAAACCACCUCCGUCACCCACCCCAAUGGCGGAAAAAAAUGAUGAAAAACACCCCAGAUUACGAUUUGAGGAGCUGACAUGUGAUGUAGAAUUGCAGCAUCCUGAACCCUCCAAACAGCAACCGCUGCAGUUCUCCUUUACCUUAUAUGAUUUAGACGGGCACGGACGUAUGACCAAGGAUGACAUUGCUGGAAUUGUUUCUACAAUCUACGAAUCCAUCGGGAAAUCAGUGACAGUGCCGCAUUAUGGGUCAAAGACAAUUCAAGUGCGGUUAACUGUUGUGCCGGAAGAUGGUAAUUGUAGAAGUCAUCGUGAGAGGCGAGAGGCGCGGCGACGUGAGAGGCGAGAGGAAAGACGAAGAGAAUGUUCUACUAACGUUAACGCAUCGCCUCCCGACUGCAUAGACCAUAGCGAGGACGAGCAAAGAGGGAGAUUAUCUCCGGACGACGAUGCUUCCUCGAAAUCUUCAUGUUCGGGAGACAGGAGACCUGCCCACAGUUCUCCAAGACAAACUACUUAUGCACAAUCCCGAGCACAUCGUCAACCUCGCAGAGAACAUCGGGAGCGGAAACAUACUAAGAAACGUUCUGGAAGUUUACAAAGACGCGAAUUGUUGGAAAUAAUUCAAGCUAACAUGGAAAAAAACCAUAUGAGCUUUCAAGCCUCAAGAAAGCCCUGUGAACCUGUUACUAUUGAAGAAGAAGUUACGAAUAAAUAUCAGAAACUUCGAAACAGAUCUUACACGGUCAGUGAGAAGCCAAUAAAUGCAUUCCAAAAGAAGAAAUCUGAUAAUUCUGGCAACGGAUACUUAGAUCUAGCAAGCGGCGGCGAUUCACAUCUAUGUAGGUAUGACCGUUACCUGCAUGCGGUGAUAUGCUCGUCGGCACGACAUGCGAACACGGGAUACCAUCAGAAGCAGAAUCAGACGCCGCGCCCCGGCCGGGCCCCGCACGCGCACCACGCGCGCUCUCGCUCGCACGACCUGCCACACCAGGCGCCCGCCGCGCAACAACCUAGAGUAUUACAAAUUAUAUUCUUAUAGAACAUAAGAAAGGGCAUCACCGGCCACGGUUUUGUCCUGCUCACUUGUUGAGUCUGUUUAUUCUAAGAAUCUAAUUUUAUUGUUGAGUUACCAAGCGCUGUUUGAAAGCCACUUUAAAAAUAAGUAACAAAACGUGAGAUUCGUAUCUCACAUAAACAUUUAAAAUGUUUUCACCCUUAAUUCGAAAUAUUCCUAUUCUAGAAGGAAAAGAAUCUUUUACAAACUUCCAUUCUCUCCACAAUAGAUCUGUUGAUAGACUUAUUACUUUUGUAAUCAAAUAACUGAAUUAACUUAGUCCAGUAUUUUCACGCUAGUAUUAAGACAUUGAAGUGUUU